GUUGCCAGCGGUCAUGGCCGGGGACUCAUGGGAGACUGCCGGGGUCAACUCGGAGGAAGUGGGAUGACGUCAAAUCAUCAUCGCCCUUAUGUCUUGGGCUUCACGCAUGCUACAAUGGCCGGUACAAAGGGCUGCGAUACCGCGAGGUGGAGCGAAUCCCAGAAAGCCGGUCUCAGUUCGGAUUGGGGUCUGCAACUCGACCCCAUGAAGUCGGAGUCGCUAGUAAUCGCAGAUCAGCAACGCUGCGGUGAAUACGUUCCCGGGCCUU
rnacentral:rRNA from 1 species